rnacentral:rRNA from 1 species
AUGGCGGAGGAAGCACUGGCGGCUGCAAUGGACAAGCUUGCGGACAUCAUGGCCGCGAAGAUGGUGGCUGCAGGUGAGAAGGCACCUGCUGAUGUGGGCUCGAGCGCUGCGCAGGCAGAGAUGGUGCAGAAGAUUGAGCUGGCUCCAAACGAGGUGAAGUUAGAAGGUGUAGAAAACUACCUGAGGUGGUCGAGGAGAGGUAAACUCAUCCUCAGAACUAAGUCACUGGAAGACUAUGCUCUUGGUGAGGUGAAGGAACCAGAAGACAAGAGGGGAGCUUCAUGGAAGAAAUGGAAUGCCACAGACAGUUUCGUGUUGAAUUGGCUGCUGAGUUCUCUAUCCCCUUCUGUUGCUGCUUCGGUGGAGGACCUCCCUACUGCUGCUGAGGUAUGGGCAGCGUUAGCUAGUAUGUACUCAGGGAAGGGAAAUGUCAUGUUGGUCUCCAAAAUUGAAGAAACUGUGCAUGAUCUCACUCAAGGUGAUAGGACUGUAAUGAUGUAUGUUGAAGAGCUGAAACAUCUUUGGGCUGAUUUAGACUAUCUUGCACCUAUUGUGUUGCCACAUGCUGAGUGUGCAGUGAUAGCUAGAAAGUGGGUUGAGGAUAGGCGUGUCCUCAAGUUUUUGAAGGGGCUGGACUCCAUGUUUGAGAAUAGAAGGGCUAUCUUAAUGCAACAAGCUGAGUUGCCGUCACUAAGAGAUGCCAUUGCUGCUAUAGCACAGAAGGAGACUAGACUGAAAGCUGUGGAGCGGUCAAAGGUGGCUUCCAGACCUGCUUAUCACAUAAUGAAUAGGCCUGAGACAAGAGACUGCCACAAUUGUGGGCUGAAAGGGCAUCUCAGUUACCAGUGCACAGCCCCAUCGAAGAGAGACAACAAAGGCAGAGGAGGUUACAGAGGCAGUUACAGAGGAGAUGGUAGGGGAUACUAUCGUGGAAGCAACAACAGGGGCAGAAGUGCUCCAAGUAACUAUAACAACUACAAUCGCUACCAAGGGGAGGCCAGAGCGAAUGUAUCUGUCAUGAGUGAGGGUCAGUCCAGUUCUUCUCAUAGUCAAGACAUGAGAAAUGAGCAGCAGGGUCAAGACAAGAGGAACGAACAGCAAGCGGAGACAGUGUUUGGUGACUUUGCUCAUUUUGUGUACUCUGAUGAAGGAGAUGGGAACUGGGAGGAGGCUUGGGGCAGGAACCAGGCAUAG